AAACUAAAACGAAAAAGCGGAAGUUAGGUCGAAACAUCCGUGUCGGAAAUUAAAUUCAGAUAACUACGGAACUUUUCCUCAAAAUUUCACUCUAUAUUUCUACAUACUAAAUAUGCUAGCUACUGUAAUAUAUACGAAAAAUACAACAUAUUUCUUCGUGAAAAUUGAAAGAGGGAUUUCGAGAAACCGAAAAGCCGCCGACUCUUCACAUCGCUGAGCGUGCUCGAACCACGUGACAAGUAGCGCACCGAGAGUCGGAGCCACCUCUCUUAAAACCUGAAACACAACUGUGACAAGCGGGUAAACAUUUAAAUAUGUUUAGUGAGAAGAGAAAUUGCCGAGGCUGCGAUAAUUUACAAAUUGGAAACGUUUGAAAGCGAUCGAUCAGACUGUUAAAAAUUUGCGCGCUCAGCUCUCAUCGCACAGUAAAUGAUGGUUCCCCGCGGGACCCCAAACAUUUAUAUAGCGAUACAACGAGUUUCAUCAGGGAAACUCAGGACGGAGAAAAAACUCGGUAGACCCCAGCGAGCAACGAGCGAUUCCGAGAGGAGUCGAUUAAAUUGGGUAGAAUGCGCUGCGUGGGCCCGUACGCCGGAUACUCGCCGAAUGAAUCUCAUCCCGAGAGAGGAAGUUCGAAUUAAGUCGAGCGAGCCACUGUCAAACGGCUAUGAGUUUUCUAUCUUUCUCGCUCUCCUCGCAAACUCGCAUUCAUUCCAUUGCAAUUUUCUCCCCUCUGUCUUUCGUUUUCGUCGCCUUUCAUCGAUCAGUUACAUUUCGAAAAAUUAAUUGUAGAAUAAACAUACUGUCGUUGUAAUCAUCACGGUAAUUAUUUGUAGUUGUUUAUAUUUUUU